UACAGAGGGUGCGAGCGUUAAUCGGAGUUACUGGGCGUAAAGGGUGCGUAGGCGGUACUAUGUGUGUGAUGUGAAAGCCCCGGGCUUAACCUGGGAAGUGCAUCGCAAACUGUAGAACUAGAGUAGAUGAGAGGGUGAUGGAAUUUCCGGUGUAGCGGUGAAAUGCGUAGAGAUCGGAAGGAACGUCAAUGGCGAAGGCAGUCACCUGGCAUCAUACUGACGCUGAGGCACGAAAGCGUGGGGAGCGAACAGGAUUAGAUACCCUGGUAGUCCACGCUGUAAACGAUGACAACUAAAUGUUGGUUGGGGAACCAAUCGGUAUUGAAGCUAACGCGAUAAGUUGUCCGCCUGGGAAGUACGGCCGCAAGGUUGAA
rnacentral:rRNA from 1 species